rnacentral:rRNA from 1 species
AUUGAACGCUGGCGGCAGGCUUAACACAUGCAAGUCGAGCGGUAGCACAGGGGAGCUUGCUCCCUGGGUGACGAGCGGCGGACGGGUGAGUAAUGUCUGGGAAACUGCCUGAUGGAGGGGGAUAACUACUGGAAACGGUAGCUACUACCGCAUAACGUCGCAAGACCAAAGAGGGGGACCUUCGGGCCUCUUGCCAUCAGAUGUGCCCAGAUGGGAUUAGCUAGUAGGUGGGGUAAUGGCUCACCUAGGCGACGAUCCCUAGCUGGUCUGAGAGGAUGACCAGCCACACUGGAACUGAGACACGGUCCAGACUCCUACGGGAGGCAGCAGUGGGGAAUAGUGCACAAUGGGCGCAAGCCUGAUGCAGACAUGCCGCGUGUGUGAAGAAGGCCUUCGUGUUGUAAAGCACGUUCAGAGAGGAGGAAGGUGGUGAACUUAAUACGUUCAUCAAUUGACGUUACUCGCAGAAGAAGCACCGGUUAACUCCGUG